AUGGAGGUGCAAGAUUUUUAUCAAAACCUGUAUGAAACACAGGGUUUUUCGGAUGCGAGCGAUCUAUUAUCGCAUGUGCCUGUUAAAGUUUCCCAGGCCAUGAAUGAUGAUCUCGGUAAGCCCUACACGGCCGAAGAAGUGAAGGUGGCACUAUUCCAGAUGGCACCUUCCAAAGCUCUGGGUGUAGAUAGUUUUAGUGCAGGUUUUUACCAGCGACACUGGGAUUUACUAGGUGCUGAUGUUACACUAGUAGUGUUGGAUUUUCUCAAUGGAGGAGAGCUACCAGCGGGGUUGAACGAUACUUCUAUCACACUAAUUCCCAAGGUACGCCACCCACAGUCGAUCACACAAUAUCAUCCUAUUGCUCUGUGCCCGGUCUUGUACAAGAUUGCAACCAAAGCUAUUAGUAACCGGUUGAGGAGCUGGAUGGAUUCAAUCAUCAGCGAAGAACAAAGUGCUUUCGUCCCGAGACGCCUCAUUACA
rnacentral:rRNA from 1 species